rnacentral:rRNA from 1 species
UUCGCCCGGAUACUACAAGCAUAAGCUCGAAACCCAAAGGACCUGACGGUGCCUUAGACCCACCUAGAGGAGCCUGUUCUAGAACUGAUUAUCCCCGUUUAACCUCACCACUCCUAGUAAUAUCAGCCUAUAUACCACCGUCGCCAGCUUACCCUGUGAAGGUAAAACAGUAAGCAAGAUGGGUAUAACCCAAAAAGUCAGGUCGAGGUGUAGCAUAUGGAGUGGGAAGAAAUGGGCUACAUUUUCUAUCACAGAAUAUAACGAAUAUGUAUAUAUGAAAAAAUACUUGAAGGAGGAUUUAGUAGUAAAAGAGAA